UACGAAGGGGGGCUAGCGUUGUUCGGAAUUACUGGGCGUAAAGGGCGCGUAGGCGGUGUGUCAAGUCAGGCGUGAAAGCCCCGGGCUCAACCUGGGAACCGCGCUUGAGACUGGCACGCUAGAGUUCGGGAGAGGAUGGUGGAAUUCCCAGUGUAGAGGUGAAAUUCGUAGAUAUUGGGAAGAACACCGAUGGCGAAGGCAGCCAUCUGGACCGACACUGACGCUGAGGCGCGAAAGCGUGGGGAGCAAACAGG
rnacentral:rRNA from 1 species